rnacentral:lncRNA from 1 species
AUGUACUCACUUGGGUGCAGGCCGACAGGGCGACAAAACCAUCCGUGGCAAAGAAAGAAAAGGCAAAAAGUCAAAUACAGAGGGGUGCAAGACAUCUGUGCAUACACAAGAGACCCGAAGAACCCAGCCAAGCUCCUGGAUCCCACAGCAAUGUCCCACUCGAGUCAGCCUGAGGCCUACGGCCCCCAGCAAUGUCUCUUCAAGUCCCUAUCGAGGAUCUGCACUGGGAAGGCCCAAAGGCCAGGGGCGGAAGCCAGAAAGCCUUGCACAGGCAGGGUGAAGGAUCUGUGCCACCAGAUUGAGGGAUCUGCACUGGAGCCAGGAAGCGACACUCAAGGCGAAGACUAGGGCUCCCCUGAUGACAGAUAUUCCUAGAGACGGCGAGCUCCUGAACUCCGACUAUUAAAGAACAGCCAGCCGGGUGUUGUGGCCCACGCCUGUAAUCCCAGCACUCGGGAGGCUGAGGCGGGAGGAUCGCUGUGAAUUCGAGACCAGCCUGGGCUACGUAGUGAGUUCCAGGUCAGUCUCAACUACAUAGUGAGACCCCGUCUCAAAAAAAAAAAAAAUAAAUAAAUAAAAAAGAGAACAGCCAAGUUCGCCUCAGGAAAACCAGCCGCAACAAGCCUCUCCAGGAAAAUCAACAGCAUAACAGAAUAUAGUCUUUCCCUUCAGUUCUCCUUUUAUGUCCUCAACAAUCCUUCCACACCCAGAACCGCAUUCCAAGAACUGGCCAGAACUGGCCGUUCCAAGUUGACCACUGGUCACUCCACCACACUAUCUAAAACCUAGUGAUACAUGAUUUAUUAUCCUUAAAUUUACCAAAUCUAUCUCAUCCACUUUCAGGACUGAGGACACCAAGAUAAAAAUAAGUGGGCAGAGCUGGGGAUUUGCCUCAGUGGUUCCACCACCUGCCUCACAAGUGCAAGGACCCGAGUUCAAUCCCCAGUACCAAAAAAAAAAACAAAAGUGGGCAAUGUGCCACAACCACAAGGUCCUGAGUUAGAUCCCUGGUACCAAAAAACAAAAACAAAACAAGUGGAAAAGGGCAAGGUCAUGAGUUUGAUCCCUGGCACCAGGAAAAAAAAAGUGUAUAUAAUGCUGGAUGCCAGUAAUAGCAGCACUCUGGGAGGCCGAGGCAGGAGGAUUGCAAGCUACAGACCAGCCUGGGCAAUUUAAUCAGAUAGUGAGAACUGCCAGGCGUGGUGGUGCACAACUGCAAUCCCAGCACUCGAGGCUGAGGCAGGAGGAUCACUGUGAGUUCGAGACCAGACUGGGCUACAUAUCGAGUUCCAGGUUAGUCUCAACUACAUAGUGAGACCCUGUCUAAAAAACUCCCCCACCAAAAAAAAUGAUAGUGAAAUCUUGUCUCCAAAUAAAAAAUUUUUAAAAGGUGUGGGGGGCAGUUUAGCAUAAAGGCUCUGGGUUCAAAACCCAGGACAGAAGAAGGAGAGAGGCUGUUCUUUGUCCUGGUUCUUAGGAUGAAUCUUUAAUCUUUGAUCUUUGGAAUUUCCUGAGCAAUAGGAGUGUGUCUUUGUUAUUCUUGGACUCUUUGAUCACAGUUGACUUUCUGCUAAAGAGCUGAGAGGACUGAAGGGUGGCAGCUGGUGGCCAGCAAGCCCAGCUGUGCAAUUAUAGUUUGAGCUUUGAGCCAGCCAGAAGCCCACGGGACGACUAAGUCACGUGGCCAGAGCUGGAUCAUCCCCUCCCUGAAGCCCUAAGAAAACCUGACUCUGAAGCUCAGGGGUGCAUCCUGUUUGAACACAUGGACACGCAGUGUCUCUGGCUGGUCCCCGCUUUAGGAAAAUGGAAAUUAAAGCCAGGCAUCGUGGUGCACUCCUGUAAUCCCAGCACUUGGGAGGCUGAGGCAGGAAGAUCACUGUGAGUACAAGAGUAGCCUGAGCUAUAUAGUGAGCUCCAGGUCAGUUUCAACUACAUAGUGAGGCCCUGUCUCAACCCCCUUCCAAAAGGAAAAUGGAAAUUAAAGCUACAGCACAAAUUUACAGAAAAAUUCUUUAAUUAGAAAGUUAGGAGGGCCGGGGGUUUAGCUCAGCAGUUUGGUGGCCUGCCUUGCAAGCGCAAGGACCGGAGUUCAAUCCCCAGUACCAAAAAAAAAAAAGAAAUUUAGGGGGCCGGGGAUUGAGCUCAGUGGUUCCGGUGCCUGCCUGGCAAGUGCAAGGUCCCAAGUUUGUUCCCUGGUACCAAAAGAAAAGAAAAGAAAGAAAAUUAGAGGGAAGACAGGAAAGGACUCCAGCAAAGGAAGCUGGAUCGGUUACUCUGGUCCAGGGGCACAGACUGGCCACCCAAAGGCAGGAGGCCAGCUUUUAAGGGUGAGCUGGUAGGCCAGGGUCAGACUGACUAUCAUCCCCAUUCUGGUGUCUUAGCUCUGGAAGCCUCACUGCAGACAGAUGGUUCUGUUCCCGGAAAAUGAUUGUCUCUGUGGUGUCUCUGUUACGUGGGGCCCACUUUUCCUGGAAUCCAGAGGUCAUAGGUUUAGGACAAUGGCUCCAGUCUUCUGGGGUAGCUGAGUGUCCCUGUGAAGUUAUCUUAGGGCCCUCAAUCUUGCAGGGGCAUGAGACCCUGUACGAGCACCAGCUUGGAGAGACACCCCCCACAUAACACACCUCUGUGCACACCUGAGACUGCCCCCAGGCAUUCAAGAAGACAUUUCCAGUGACAAGGAAUACAGAGUGAAUCACAGGCCUUGUUUUGCUUUUAUUUACCUAUAGGCAUCUGUUAUGGUCUGUAUCUAGAUGUCCCCACGAAGCCUCAUGUGCUCACCGGGCUUGUCAGAGGUGGCUGGAUCUAGAGGAUGUGUACUGCGAUUAAGGGUGUGUAAUUAUUAAAUCAAUCCACUGCUUGGUCGGCACCAUCCUAGUCCCCCAGUAGUCUGGAUAAGAUAAAAAGGGGAGAAAGAUGCUGCUGAGGUUCCCCUCAUACUCGCUUCUGCUGUCUUCUGCUACCAGGAAUGAUUGCUCCUCUGCCGCGGCCCCCUGCCUUGGAGCCAGCGAUUAUGGACUGAAACCUCUACAAAUUGUGAGCUAAAUAAACCUUUUCCCCUUUAACUUUGGGUUCAGGUAUUUUGUCCCAGUGAUGAAAGAAAAAGUAACUGAGAUAGCAUCUGUAGGCAAGCACAUCCCGACGGGAGUGGGACUCAAAACCCCGAGCGCACAGCACAGUGGGUCAGAAGCCCACUGUCUUAACCACUUGGCCACCCCAUCCUUUUAUCUGGGCGUGACUACUUGUAAGUGUGUUCAUGCAACUCGAUGGACUGCCCACCUCGAGAAUGUGCAUUUGUCUGCGGGUACUCACUAUUUUAAAAAGAUGACAAAGAGAUGAUUAAAAAGAAAAAACUCACCAGGUGUGGGGGCACACCUGUAAUCUCAGCACUCAGGAGGCUGAGGCAGGAGGAUCGCUGUGAGUUCAAAUCCAGCCUGGGCUACACAGUGAGUUCCAGGUCAGUCUCAACCACAUAGUGAGACCCUGUCUCAAAAAACAAAACAAAACAGAAAAGAAAAGAAAAACCUGCUGGGUGUAGUGGUGCACACCUGUAAUCCCAGCACUCUGGAAGGCUGAGGCAGGAGAACAGCCAUGAGUUGGAGGACAGCUUGGACUAUGUAAUGGGUUUGAGGCCAGGAUUAACGCCAUUGUCUCAGAAAAACCAAGAAAGAGCAUAUCAUUCCGAUUAUAUUCGCAUUACAUUUCAAAGGUGAUUAUGAGGGCGGGGAGAUCACCCAGGAGGCCUGACCGGUCUCCACACACAGUGCACACUCGCUGGAGUCGCUGGCCUCCUCCCGCGCAGACAAGGGAGAAAACGAACACGGAGAUGAGCGCGCUGGGUGGGGACCCGACCCCCGGCACACAGUGGAGUCGAAGGAAUGCAGCUUGGUCCUGGGGUCCAGGCUCGGCUCCUUGCCCUCUGAGGGGUCAGCGGAGCCCUGGUCCUCAGCUCCCUUCUGAUCUGCGCCGUCCUCAGCGGCCGCGCGCACCGGGUCGGGCCCUGGACUCCGGGCUCGGGGCGGCCAUUUAUAAAACCAAGAAAAACAAAAUAAA